rnacentral:rRNA from 1 species
AGUGAACGCUGGCGGUAGGCCUAACGCAUGCAAGUCGAACGGCAGCACAGUAAGAGCUUGCUCUUACGGGUGGCGAGUGGCGGACGGGUGAGGAAUACAUCGGAAUCUACUUUUUCGUGGGGGAUAACGCAGGGAAACUUACGCUAAUACCGCAUACGACCUACGGGUGAAAGCAGGGGAUCUUCGGACCUUGCGCGAUUGAAUGAGCCGAUGUCGGAUUAGCUAGUUGGCGGGGUAAAGGCCCACCAAGGCGACGAUCCGUAGCUGGUCUGAGAGGAUGAUCAGCCACACUGGAACUGAGACACGGUCCAGACUCCUACGGGAGGCAGCAGUGGGGAAUAUUGGACAAUGGGCGCAAGCCUGAUCCAGCCAUACCGCGUGGGUGAAGAAGGCCUUCGGGUUGUAAAGCCCUUUUGUUGGGAAAGAAAAGCAGCAGGUUAAUACCCCGCUGUUCUGACGGUACCCAAAGAAUAAGCACCGGCUAACUUCGUG